AGGUAGUAAUUAUAAUUAAAACCUAUUUAUAUAGGCGGCAUUUUACCUUGUUAGAGGAACUUGUUAUAUAAUCGACAUUACGCGAUAAUUUUCACUUAUUCUAAAGUCUAUAUACCUCCAUCUUAAGAGUAAAUUUUAAAUAUUUCUCUAAAUAAACAAUAAUAAGUUAGGUCAAGGUGUAACCCAUUAAUAAGAAAUUAAUGAGUUACUAUAAAAACAAUUUAAAGAUUAAAACUUUAAAAUUUUUAUGAAAAAGGAUUUAAUAGUAAUUCUAGAUAAUAUCAAAACAUGAAUAAGAAAUAAAUGUGC
rnacentral:rRNA from 1 species